rnacentral:rRNA from 1 species
CCUACGGGGGGCAGCAGUGAGGAAUAUUGGUCAAUGGACGAGAGUCUGAACCAGCCAAGUAGCGUGAAGGAUGACUGCCCUAUGGGUUGUAAACUUCUUUUAUAUGGGAAUAAAAUGUUCCACGUGUGGGAUUUUGUAUGUACCAUAUGAAUAAGGAUCGGCUAACUCCGUGCCAGCAGCCGCGGUAAGACGGAGGAUCCGAGCGUUAUCCGGAUUUAUUGGGUUUAAAGGGAGCGUAGGUGGAUUGUUAAGUCAGUUGUGAAAGUUUGCGGCUCAACCGUAAAAUUGCAGUUGAAACUGGCAGUCUUGAGUACAGUAGAGGUGGGCGGAAUUCGUGGUGUAGCGGUGAAAUGCUUAGAUAUCACGAAGAACUCCGAUUGCGAAGGCAGUUCACUGGACUGCAACUGACACUGAGGCUCGAAAGUGUGGGUAUCAAACAGGAUUAGAUACCCUUGUAGUC